CCGUCCAGCUUCCAGCUGCUGCUCCUCCUGCCCAGACUGUGGCCUCGGAGCUUGGGGGCGGACGUAGAUGAAAUUCCUCUUCAUUUAGGAGGGCUUCUGUGGAGCGUGGUGAAGCCUUCAAAGGCUCAAGAGGACAUC